rnacentral:lncRNA from 1 species
GUGACCUUCUUUCCCGGGUUUUCCCAUCUGGUUUGAGUAGUCAUAUCCCAAAAUGUUGAAAUUGGACACUAUUUAAGAGUACAUUCUUAACCUUUAUAACCCUCCUUUACAAUUGUUUCUAAUUCGAAAUGUAGAACCAGUCAGACCACACCCGAUUGUUUUAGUCUUAAAUAGAUAUCGCAUGUAAUUUCAACACUUCCAGGAAUCCGAAGCAUCGCUAUUUAAAAGGGAUAGGCACGGAGGGAUGUAGUGGCACAUUGGAUGUAGGAAAAGCGGGCGUAUCUUUUCCCGGCUGCAGAAGGUAGAGGUUAAAAAGCUGUGGGAACGGGUCAGAGGAAAGAGGGGGGCGGGAGGAAUGGGAAAGGGUACAGUAGAAAGGCAGGCAGGGUGUUUUCUUAACGUAAAGGAAGAGUUAAAUCAGAAGUUAAUAGCUUAUUGUGAGUUAUUAAAACGAUAGCCUACACCGCCGAGAUCUGGGAAACCGAAAGUUAUCUAAUUAUAUAAGACAUAAACAAGAGAAGGAGACCUCGAUGUCGGGAAUAGGACACGGUCUGGAAUAGGUAAGUCAAAGUAUCCGCUUGCCACCAGCUCCCCUCAAUAUUCAAAUUGUAAACAACAAAUCUUUAAUGGUGUGUGUGGCAUACAUGUGCGUUAUAUCAAAGAAGAAGAGAUACUUUGUAUUCAACGUGUCGUACGCGCGUUCCUGGCAGCACGUUCAUGGCAAGAAAUCUGAGCGCACUCGUUCUACAGUCAGACAGAGGUGAAGGAUGGAGGGAGAUACAGAGAAAGAGACAGCAGAGGAGAAGGAAGGUGAUGAUACAGAGCUGUCUGGUGAGGAAGGGGUGGGGCGACUUCAUCAGAGCGGAAGGUCCUCGGAUGAAGACCAGGACCUACCCAUCAUGCAGUGGGAGGACCUGAGCCUGCGUAUCGCCGAGCUAGAGAAACAGGAGGAGGAGAGGAGGGAGAGGGCAAAGAGUACGAGUGGGUCGGAACAGGGGAGUGUGUCAGGGGGCUGGGCGGAGGAGAGGCAGGGUGGGCGGAGGAGGAGAGAGGAAUGGGAGGAGGAGGACUAUGGAAGGUGUCGAGUUACUGUUUUCUCAUCUAGAUUCCACAACCACAGAAAUCUACAAUUAUGCUACACCAACAACAGUGAGAGCGAGGAUGAUGAUAAGGAGGAGGGGGCUGGCAAAGAGGGUUCUAAAGAGGCAGGUAGCCAUGGUUACCAUCCCUCUGGCCUGAAGCUGGAGGUGAGGGCUGCACUGAGUGCGCUUAAAAACAAGCUGCUCGCUGAACAGAAAGAGAAGGAGCACCUCGCCUGUGUGAUCACUAAGAGGAAGCAUCUGGAAUGCUGUGACCUGCAGAUCUGCUCAAUACAACAGCUCAGCUCCCUCAGGACCUCACUCAACCACGACAUACACGACCUGAGCUCUGAGUUGGUGGGUCACCUGUUGAUAAGGGACCAGCUGAGGACCAAACAGGAUGCCAUGCUCCUGGAUGUACAGGAUCUGACAUAAUGUUGACCCACAGGUGCACAGGAUGUGACAUCACCACUGCCAUGGACAGGGUACCAGGACAGGAAGUCAUUGUGACCAAUAGUGGAUAAAGGGAUUUUGGCCCAGAUAUGCCACUAUGAGACUGUCAGAAGUAUUUCCGUAGCAGCCUACUCAACAUGAUUUUUCGUAAAGGAGAAAUGUUGAUUAUGAGCAACUGAUGAGCAGCAUCUUGGACCGGCGUCAUAAUACAAUUCAUAUUUCACAGACAGGGUAUGGAUAACUUUCUCUUCAUCAUCCCCACCUGAUCUUGACCAGCAUAAUCUUCAUCAUCAUUAGUGGACAGAGUACUGUAUUAGGACCUUUUUUGACUUACGCAUGCACUUAAACAAAAAUAUUUAAUAUCAGAAAGAGGGUUUUAAGCCAUUUGUGAUGUUGUUUGAAACAUCUCUAGUAAUAUCUGACUCCUAGUGUUUUGCCUGUGGUAAGAAAGUCCUAUUUAUCUUGGGGGUGUCAGAUGGAGAACCUUCACAGCCAUAGUGUAACGCAACAUUCAAUGAGUUAUAUCAUUUACAUAUAUGAGGGAUACCGCUUUUGCAUAAGUUUUAUUGUGUAAACAUUGCAAUAUCCUUGACUUACUGAUUUAAGGGAAUUGUCCACUUAUAACCUGUAUAAAACAAGCUAAGGAGCUGCAUAUUCAGGCUAAAGGGAACAGUCCUGUAACAAUUUGGUAGAGAAGUUUCUUUGUUGGUAAUUAACCUCUAUUAUGUAUAAUAUGAGCCUCAUGUAGUUGUUGAUGUAAGGGAAUUGUCCGCAUAGUGCCAAUAAGCCUGUGGGUAUUGCCAUUAUGUAUUUUAUGAUAUACCUGGUUUCCAGCCAUAACUAUAACUACCACCAGCAUAGGAAACUACAAAGCUGCAAUUGGUCGAUUGACUCCAUGCCAGCAUAGUCCGAAAAUAUUUUGUGUUUCUCAGAUUGUUCUGGUAAUUCUCACAUAGAAACUUCAUUGGGAUGAAGGAUGUUUGAUGUGCUUUUUACAUUUGUAACACAAAUCAGGUUUUUUUUUUUAUCAUGAUGGAAGUGGCAAUUUUAGGCCCUUUUUAAUCCUAUGCAUGACAACACCUUGGUGUCAUUAUACCCCUAAUAGCUCUAAAAUAUGGACUAUCAUUGCAUUCUGAAAUACAAUUUUACACAUUAAUUUAUUCAAGAUUAAAACUAUUAAUAUUAUCUCAAAAGUACCCUUUUUGAUUUUGUUAAGUUUUAGACAUAUUGUUUUAAACAAUAUACUUUACUAGUACAUCAAAUUUCCAGAGUGGGCUCUCUGUUACUUUUAAAGUUAUGAUUCAAAGGGAACUCCUUCUGCUGGUGAUUUUCUGAAUGUGCAAUCCUACAGUAGGGCUGUGAUUGGUUAAUUACCUAUAACGUCCAUUUCUUUGUAUACUGAACAAUAAUAUAAAUGCAACAUGUAAAUGGUUGGUCCCAUGUUUCAUGAACUGAAAUAAAAGAUCCCAGAAAUGUUCCAUACUCACAAAAAGCUUAAUUAUCUAAAAUUCUGUGCACAAAUUUAUUGACAACCCUGUUAGUGAGAGUUUAUCCUUUGCCAAUAUAAUCCAUCCACCUGACAGGUGUGGCAUAUCAAGAAGCUGAUUAAACAGCAUGAACAUUACACAGGUGAACCUUGUGCUGGGAACAAUAAAAGGCCACCCUAAAAUGUGCAGUUUUGUCACACAAUGCCACAGAUGUCUCAACUUUUGAGGGAUUGCAGGAAUGUCCACUAGAGUUGUUGCCAGGGAAUUGAAUAUUAAUUUCUCUAGGACCUCCACAUCUAGCUUCUUUACCUGCGGGAUUGUCUGAGGGUGGGAUUGCUGAGGAGUAUUUCUGUCUGUAAUAAAGCCCUUUUGUGGGGGAAAAUGUAUUCUGAUUGGCUGGGCCUGGCUCCCAAGUGGGUGGGCCUAUGCCCUCCCAUGUGAAAUCCAUAGAUUAGGGCCUAGUACAUGUAUUUAAAUUGACUGAUUUCCUUAUAUGAACAGUAACUCAGUAAAAUAAUUGAAAUUGUUGCAUAUUGUGUUUAUAUUUUUGUUCAGUAUAUAACAUAAUUUCUUCAAAGUGGUAGAGAGCCCACUCUGGGAAUGUGAUGCUUGAAAUAUAUAUGUUUCCAAAUCGUGUUUCUAAAAUUAAGCAAAACCAAAAAGUGUACUUUUGAGAUAUUAAAAAUAAAUAUAAUAUCUUACCUGGUUUUCUGGUGAUAUGAAAGAUUGUCAUUUGUCACUUUAAAAUAUACCAGCCUGUUUCUUCCGUCUUGCCGUUGUCCUGCUAUCACAGUUCAUUGUUUCAUCAUACUACAAAUACACACGAUUAUUGGAAGUACCACAUAUAAUAAUUGCUAGUUAAGACACGAGGUAAUAAGGCCAGGAGAUUUUCCUGACCAUGUGACCUGACCAGGGACAAACACCAGGCUCAAGUUACUGGACCAGAGUCUUUCCUCUUCAAGUCACAUGAUCAGGAAAAACUCCUGGCCUUAUUACCUGUUGUGUCUUAACUAGCAAUUAUUAUAUGUGGUACUUCCAAUAAUCGUGUGUAUUUGUAGUAUGAUGAAACAAUGAACUUUUAGCAGAUUCAAGGCCAUGGGAAAGGGGUGAAUGCUAUGAAGUAACAUUGAACUUUAUAAUCUCUGAAGUAUUAUUCAGUAUUAACUUUUUUUAAAUGUAUCAUUUUGCAUUCAAUAAACCUUGUAAGGUUAUUUAAUGUUG